rnacentral:lncRNA from 1 species
AAGCCCAGCUCCGCAGGAGCUACAGGCGUGAGACCCACCGGGACCCGCGAGCGGGAUCAGGGCUGGGGGAUUAGCAGAGCCGCUUGCGAGGCUGACCCUCUCCAGGAUGCCCCAUCAUUCCUUCCUUCUGAGUACGGGGCAGGACUCUCUCUGGGAUGGAGGGGUCUUAGGACCUGCAAGCAAACAAGGGGGAGAUGCAUUAGAGUGCAGUGAUACGAUCACAGCUCAUUGCAGCCUUGACCUCCUGGGCUCAAGCAAUCCUUCCACCUCAGCCUCCCAAGUAGCGCCACUGAAAUCUAUGUUCUUACUCAGCCCACCUGCACUGAGGUGAAAUAAACAGCUUUAUUGCUCACACAAAGCCUGUUGGUGGACUCUCUUCACAUUGAUGCGCGUGACAUUUUGUGCUGUGACUUGGAUUGGGGGCCCUUCCUUGGGAGAUCAAUCCCCUGUCCUCCUGCUCUUUGCUCCAGGAGAAAGAUCCACCACGACCUUGGGUCUUCGGACCAACCAGCCCAAGGAACAUCUCACCAAUUUUAAAUCGGACAGGAAUGUCAGGCCUCUGAGCCCAAGCGAAGCCAUCAUAUCCCCUGUGCCCUCCACAUAUACAUCCAGAUGGCCUGAAGCAACUGAAGAUCCACAAAGGAAGUGAAAA